rnacentral:rRNA from 1 species
AGUGAACGCUGGCGGUAGGCCUAACUCAUGCAAGUCGAACGGCAGCACAGUAAGAGCUUGCUCUUACGGGUGGCGAGUGGCGGACGGGUGAGGAAUACAUCGGAAUCUACUUUUUCGUGGGUGAUAACGUAGGGAAACUUACGCUAAUACCGCAUACGACCUACGGGUGACUGCAGGGGAUCUUCGGACUUUGCGCGAUUGAAUGAGCCGAUGUCGGAUUAGCUAGUUGGCGGGGUAAAGGCCCACCAAGGCGACGAUCCGUAGCUGGUCUGAGAGGAUGAUCAGCCACACUGGAACUGAGACACGGUCCAGACUCCUACGGGAGGCAGCAGUGGGGAAUAUUGGACAAUGGGCGCAAGCCUGAUCCAGCCAUACCGCGUGGGUGAAGAAGGCCUUCGGGUUGUAAAGCCCUUUUGUUGGGAAAGAAAAUCAGCAGGUUAAUACCCAGCUGUUCUGACGGUACCCAAAGAAUAAGCACCGGCUAACUUCGUG